CGGGAAUUCGAUUCAGGCCUAACACAUGCAAGUCGAGCGGUAGAGAGAAGCUUGCUUCUCUUGAGAAAGGCGGACGGGUGAGUAAUGCCUAGGAAUCUGCCUGGUAGUGGGGGAUAACGUUCGGAAACGGACGCUAAUGCCGCAUACGUCCUAGGGGAGGAGGCAGGGGACGUUCGGGCCUUGCGGUAUCAGAUGAGCCUAGGUCGGAUUAGCUAGUUGGUGAGGUAAUGGCUCACCAAGGCGACGAUCCGUAACUGGUCUGAGAGGAUGAUCAGUCACACUGGAACUGAGGCACGGUCCAGACUCCUACGGGAGGCAGCAGUGGGGAAUAUUGGACAAUGGGC
rnacentral:rRNA from 1 species